rnacentral:rRNA from 1 species
UAGGAAGAAAUCGUUAAGGGCGUAUGGCGGAUGCCUAGGCUUUCAGAGGCGAAGAAGGACGUGGUAAGCUGCGAAAAGCUGCGGGGAUUGGCACACACGAAUUGAUCCGCAGAUGUCGAAUGGGGCAACCCAAUACAUUGAAGAUGUAUUACCUCUUAGGAGGAGCAAACCCGGAGAACUGAAACAUCUAAGUACCGGAGGAAAAGAAAUCGAAGAGAUUCCGUAAGUAGUGGCGAGCGAAAGCGGAUUAGCCCAAAAGCUAAUAUAUGUUUAAUAGAAUGUUCUGGAAAGAACAGCCAUAGAGGGUGAUAGCCCGUAUAUGAAAGGCAUAUUUGAGUGAUAAAUGAGUAGGGCGGGACACGUGAAAUCCUGUCUGAAUAUGGGGGACCAUCCUCCAAGGCUAAAUACUCCUGAAAACCGAUAGUGAACAAGUACUGUGAAGGAAAGGUGAAAAGCACUUCGAAUAGAAGGGUGAAAUAGAACCUGAAACCGUACGCCUACAAGCGGUCGGAGCAGCAUUAAGCUGUGACGGCGUGCCUUUUGCAUAAUGAGCCUACGAGUUAAUUUUACUAGCGAGGUUAAGGUAUUAAGUACCGGAGCCGGAGCGAAAGCGAGUCUGAAUAGGGCGCAUAGUUAGUAGGAUUAGACGCGAAACCUUGUGAUCUCCCAUGGGCAGGUUGAAGCUCUGGUAACACAGAGUGGAGGACCGAACCGGUUGACGUUGAAAAGUCUUCGGAUGACCUGUGGGUAGGGGUGAAAGGCCAAUCAAA